UACGGGAGGGGACUAGCGUUGUUCGGAAUUACUGGGCGUAAAGCGCACGUAGGCGGAUUUGUAAGUCAGGGGUGAAAUCCCGGGGCUCAACCUCGGAACUGCCUUUGAUACUGCAAUCUCGAGUCCGGAAGAGGUGAGUGGAAUUCCUAGUGUAGAGGUGAAAUUCGUAGAUAUUAGGAAGAACACCAGUGGCGAAGGCGGCUCACUGGUCCGGUACUGACGCUGAGGUGCGAAAGCGUGGGGAG
rnacentral:rRNA from 1 species